rnacentral:rRNA from 1 species
GAUGAACGCUGGCGGCGUGCCUAAUACAUGCAAGUCGAGCGAACAGACGAGGAGCUUGCUCCUCUGACGUUAGCGGCGGACGGGUGAGUAACACGUGGAUAACCUACCUAUAAGACUGGGAUAACUUCGGGAAACCGGAGCUAAUACCGGAUAAUAUAUUGAACCGCAUGGUUCAAUAGUGAAAGACGGUUUUGCUGUCACUUAUAGAUGGAUCCGCGCCGCCUUAGCUAGUUGGUAAGGUAACGGCUUACCAAGGCGACGAUGCGUAGACGAACUGAGAGGGUGAUAGGCCACACUGGAACUGAGACACGGUCCAGACGACUACGGGAGGCAGCAGUAGGGAAUCUUCCGCAAUGGGCGAAAGCCUGACGGAGCAACGCCGCGUGAGUGAUGAAGGCCUUCGGAUCGUAAAACUCUGUUAUUAGGGAAGAACAAAUGUGUAAGUAACUAUGCACGUCUUGACGGUACCUAAUCAGAAAGCCACGGCUAACUACGUG